rnacentral:rRNA from 1 species
AUGAACGCUAGCAGUGUGCCUGAGAUAUGCAAGUCGAGCGUCAAUGAGUCCCGCAAGGGAUUUGUUGAGCGGCGGACGGCUGAGUAAUGUACAGGGAUCUGCCUUCUUCUGGGGAAUAGCUCGCCGAAAGGCGGGGUAAUACCCCAUGUGGUCUCACGACCAAAGGACGUAACUGUUCGGAAGAAGAUGAGCCUGUAUUCUAUCAGGUAGUUGGUGGGGUAACGGCCUACCAAGCCAAUGACGGAUAGCUGGUCUGAGAGGAUGGACAGCCAGAGGGGUACUGAGACACGGACCCCACUCCUACGGGAGGCAGCAAUCAGGAAUAGUCGGCAAUGGGCGAAAGCCUGACCGUGCGACACUGUGUGCGGGAUGAAGGUCUUAUCGAUCGUAAACCGCUGUGGUAGAGGAAGAAGUCCGCAAGGAUUGACGGUACUCUACUAGAAAGGAGCCGCUAACUGCGUGCCAGAAGCGUCGGUAAUACGUGGGCUUCAAGCGUUAUCCGGUUUUAUUGGGCGUAAAGGGUCGUGUAGGUGGUAGAUUAAGUUAUCUCUUAAAUUUUCUCGCUCAACGAGGAGUCUGGGGAUAAUACUAAUAUACUAGAACUUUCUUAAGGGAGAUCGGAACUGAGAGAGGAGUAGUGAAAUGCGUUGAUACUCUCGGGAACACCAGUGGCGAAGGCGGAUCUCUGGAAGGAAGUUGACACUGAGACACGAAAGCUAGGGGAGCGAAGCAGAUUAGAGACCUGCGUAGUCCUAGCCCUAAACGAAUGUCUGCUAGCUGCAUCUUUUUCCUUCGGGAAUUAGGUGUGGCGUAGGUAACCCGUUAAGCAGACCGCCUGGGAAGUACGACCGCAAGGUUAAAACUCAAAGGAAUUGGCGGGGAGGCACACAACCAGUGGAACAUGUGGUUCAAUUUGAUACGAACCAAAGAACCUCACCCGGGUUUGAAAUCCAAGCGUUCUAUCUUAUGGAAACAUGAGAAAUGCGCAAGCAGGCUUGGACAGGUGCUGCAUGGCUGUCGUCAGCUCGUUCCGUGAGGAGUGCCCUUAAGUGGGACAACGAGCGCAACCCCCAUCUUGUGUUAUAUAUGUCACAAGGGACUGCCUCGAUUUUUAUCGGGGAGGAAGGAGGGGCAGAUGUCAAGUCAGCAUGGUCCUUAUAUCCGGGGCUACACACAUGUUACAAUGAAUAGGGCAAUGGGUCUCGCAAGCGCGUAAGCGCAAGCAAAUCCCUCAAACCUAUUCCCAGUUGGGAUUGAGGUCUGCAACUCGACCUCAUGAACGCGGAAUUGGUAGUAAUCGCGGGUCAGCUACACCGCGGUGAAUACGUUCUUGCCUCUUGCACCACACCGCCCGUCAAGCCAACAAAGUCGGUAAAAUUUGAACUCUGCCUUUGGUGGAGGAGGAUUUUAUCGGCGAUGAGGGUU